UACGAAGGGGGCGAGCGUUGUUCGGAAUUACUGGGCGUAAAGCGCACGUAGGCGGCCUUGCAAGUUCGUGGUGAAAGCCCGGGGCUCAACUCCGGAAUUGCCUUUAAAACUGCAUCGCUAGAAUUGUGGAGAGGUAAGUGGAAUUCCGAGUGUAGAGGUGAAAUUCGUAGAUAUUCGGAAGAACACCAGUGGCGAAGGCGACUUACUGGACACAUAUUGACGCUGAGGUGCGAAAGCGUGGGGAGCAAACAGG
rnacentral:rRNA from 1 species